GCCUAGAUAGCUUAGUUGGUAGUGCGUCUGCCUUGUAAGCGCUAGGCCGCGGGUUUGAUUCCCGCCCGGGGCG
rnacentral:tRNA from 1 species